UACGUAGGGUGCAAGCGUUAAUCGGAAUUACUGGGCGUAAAGGGUUUGUAGGUGGCUUGCUCAGUCAGACGUGAAAUCCCUCAGCUUAACUGGGGAACUGCGUCUGAUACUGGACGGCUUGAGAUUGGGAGAGGGAUGCGGAAUUCCAGGUGUAGCGGUGAAAUGCGUAGAUAUCUGGAGGAACACCGGUGGCGAAGGCGGCAUCCUGGACCAACACUGACGCUGAGGAGCGAAAGCCAGGGGAGCAAACGGG
rnacentral:rRNA from 1 species